rnacentral:rRNA from 1 species
UCCCCGAGCUUAACUUGGGAAUUGCAUUGGUGACUGCACGGCUAGAGUGUGUCAGAGGGGGGUAGAAUUCCACGUGUAGCAGUGAAAUGCGUAGAGAUGUGGAGGAAUACCGAUGGCGAAGGCAGCCCCCUGGGAUAACACUGACGCUCAUGCACGAAAGCGCGGGGAGCAAACAGGAUUAGAUACCCUGGUAGUCCACGCCCUAAACGAUGUCAACUAGUUGUUGGGGAUUCAUUUCCUUAGUAACGUAGCUAACGCGUGAAGUUGACCGCCUGGGGAGUACGGUCGCAAGAUUAAAACUCAAAGGAAUUGACGGGGACCCGCACAAGCGGUGGAUGAUGUGGAUUAAUUCGAUGCAACGCGAAAAACCUUACCUACCCUUGACAUGCCACUAACGAAGCAGAGAUGCAUUAGGUGCUCGAAAGAGAAAGUGGACACAGGUGCUGCAUGGCUGUCGUCAGCUCGUGUCGUGAGAUGUUGGGUUAAGUCCCGCAACGAGCGCAACCCUUGUCUCUAGUUGCUACGAAAGGGCACUCUAGAGAGACUGCCGGUGACAAACCGGAGGAAGGUGGGGAUGACGUCAAGUCCUCAUGGCCCUUAUGGGUAGGGCUUCACACGUCAUACAAUGGUGCAUACAGAGGGUUGCCAAGCCGCGAGGUGGAGCUAAUCCCAGAAAAUGCAUCGUAGUCCGGAUCGUAGUCUGCAAC